UAUACAAGUACUUGUAUAAUUGCUUUACUUCUGUAAGGAGAGUAAUUUUCAUUCAUUCUUUCAUCGUUUUGAAUUUGUCUCCAAUUACUAAAAUAGCUUUAUUGUGUUAUUACAUCGAAAAAUCAUGAGGAAAAUCGUAAUAUCCAUCCUUUUUCAGAUGUGUAUUAGUUACAUUUCGGCAAAGUCUUUUGUGAAAAGAAAUAAUCGUGCAAGAGUUAUGCGCAUUCACUAGAGAUCAGUUGUUUGAGUUUUCCGCCUGCUUGGAUGCUUCCUUGAGUGACGAAAGCAGAGAUAUUAUACGUGGUUAUUUGGGCUGCAUUGGUUUCUCUUCAAUCUUCGAUUUUUUAGAAAAAUCAUGCGUUACUAACGACGAUAUGGAUGACACUUUCCUCAAAGCUUUUUUGUGUUCUUAUGAAUACGAAGAACGUUUAAACACUGUUGUUACAAUAGAAGAAGAAAACAAAUGUCUGGAGAAAGUAACCCCCGCAAUAGUGAGAUAACCAAAGGCUUUUGUGGCACAAUCUCUACAGACCCAAGAUUUUUCGACAUUCGAAUGUUACUUCGCACGGAAAAUCGAUCCAUCCAAACAUUUUAAACUACAUUUAUAAUAAAAAUUUAUGACUUGUUUAAAAUCUCUUGUAAUUAAUUUUUUUUUAAUUAAAAUUUUUUC